GGGGCCAUAGCUCAGAUGGGAGAGCGCCUGCCUUGCACGCAGGAGGUCAGCGGUUCGAUCCCGCUUGGCUCCACCA
rnacentral:tRNA from 1 species